rnacentral:rRNA from 1 species
CCUACGGGAGGCUGCAGUGAGGAAUAUUGGUCAAUGGGCGCUAGCCUGAACCAGCCAAGUAGCGUGAAGGAUGACUGCCCUAUGGGUUGUAAACUUCUUCUAUAUGGGAAUAAAGUGCAGUAUGUAUACUGCUUUGCAUGUACCUUAUGCAUAAGGAUCGGCUAACUCCGUGCAAGCAGCCGCGGUAAUACGGAGGAUCCGAGCUUUAUCCGGAUUUAUGGGGUUAAAGGGGUGCGUAGGGGGGUUUUUAAGUUGGUGGUUAAACGUCGGGGCUUAACCUUGAAUUGCCAUUAAUACUGUAAGGCUCGAGUGCAGACGAGGUGAGCGGAAUAAGUGAAGUAGCGGUGAAAUGCUUAGAUAUAACGUAGAACUCCGAUAGCGAAGGCAGCUUACCAGACUGCGACUGACGCUGAAGCACGAGAGCGUGGGGAGCGAACAGGAUUAGAUACCCCAGUAGUC